UUGUGGAUUAAAGCCUCAUUUAAACAUUUCAACACAUUCUAGGCAGACACUUUAAUAUAAUACUAGGGCUGUAGUGCACUGUCAAAGUCACAUCUACCCCCACACAUGAAUACAAAAGAUCCCAAAGGACUACUUGAAGAAAGAUGCAGUUACAAUGACAGUCGAUGAGACAGAUGAUAACUUACAAGGCGAAAAACUUACACAAGAACAGGCUUCCCAGACAUCUUUUGAUGUUUUAGUACUUCAGACAGAACAUUUCUAGCUUCCCCCAUCCGCUUCACAUCCGUUGAGUCAACAACGAAAAUAAAACCAUG